CGACGUGCGCCUAGCAACGGCCUCCGCGCCGUACUCUCGUUUCCAGGUUGCGCCGUCGCCCUGUUGCGCCCGCGAAACACGCCGGCCAAACAUGGAGGAAAAAACAACUCAGUGCGCGCCACGGAGGAACUUCCUCUGUGGUGCGCGCCGACUGCGCAUUUUUACGUGCGGCAUGUUCGGCGCCUGCGCGUUGUCGCCACUUCAAGGAAGCCAAUAUAGGAAAACACGACGCUCCGUGCACCUUUGUUUCUGGUAGGAGCAGCUCGGAAAGAGUUGCCAGUUUAGUUUGUAGUUUGACUGUGAUGCUGCUAAGGCACUGUACCACCGAACAUUAGGGCUUAUGAUCUGCCCUGCCCGUCCGUCGAGAUGUCUAAGCGCGUUUGGACGCCAUCGAGGAACGACGAGGUACCGCACAUCACGAAGUGGAAGUAUUGUAGGAAAAAGGAAAAUGAAAAAGAAAUACUGUGUUGUGGGCGCCUUCUGCACGCAAACUUCUGCCUUGUCGUGAGCACUUGUGUUUCGCGUACGUGCUCGUCAACUACAAGCAACCGCAUGUGAGUGCCCGCGCGAUCUGCAGAAACUCGCAUUUAUCUGGAAUGAACUUUUCUUAUGUACGCGCUGGUGUGAGGCCAAUAAAACAAGCGCGAGAGAGGCGGCAAGCCGCUUGAAGAGCUCUGUUCAAAGGAUCCUUCACAGGAUGGUCGACAUUCUCCUCGCCAUGAGUCUAUCUGACAGAACGACUGUCCAGUGAAUUAAGGAUGGUACUCAAGAUCAAAUCAUCUGCCCGAGUCUUGGCCAAUUCCCCUGGGUGGCUUGGUUCCAAUCAUCUAAGGAGCAUAAUUAUCAAGAUUAACAUAUGUAUUAUUUCAAGUACCACAUAUUUUGCUACACCCUUGUAACUUCUUGCCACAGUCAGAUUUUUAUGAACCAAGUGCGUCAGAAAAUUGGGAAAUUUCAACUCGUUUUUCUGACCCAAGGUAGCUGCCAUUUUGUUUAUCCCCACAUGUGUACGAGCACUCAUGAAACUUGAAACGACUCCCACAAGUUGCAUACACAUACGAAAUGUGUUAAAAAAAUAAUGUUUUUCACACUUUCACUGUUUGUGGUACUACAUUUGAAGCAUUGCUUCCCUCAAACUACUCCCCUCUACUGGCAAUACAGUGUCGCAAUCAUUUCUUCCAUUUUUGGUAAGCUUCCUGGAACGCACUAAUGGCCUGGAAGUAUCUUCUUGUAUUGUCCAGGACCUUCUGUAUUGUUUGGAAAUGGCAUCUGUCAAUGUAGUUUAUGUUUGGAAUAAAGAAAAUAAAAUGAAA